GCUUUCUUACUGAGUAGUCAUAGGUUCUUCUCCUUUGCCCUGGCUUGGUACACCAGACUCUUAUAGGGCCGCCACCAUAUUUUUUUACUCUUAUUCCUUUAACAGCUGCACAACAAACAGAAAUUCAGCUGGUUAAAACAGAGAGAACAUUUUCACUGUUACAUCUUCCUUCGGUCAAAUCCCAAACUGCUAGAGGUGUGAAAGCAAUAAUAAGAUGCUUCUUGCAAAGGCAGCAACAUUUCCUAAGAACCUGAAACAAAAAACACACCUGCCAAAAGUCUGUGGAAUUUAUAACCAUGCAAAAAAUCUACUUAUUUCAUACCAUAUUAUAACACAUAAUGUAGUAUAAUUCUCUUACCUGAUAAUGACUAAAUUGUUGAAGAAAUAUUUUCAGAAACCUUUUAGGCCAUUCAUUAAUGUAGCACACGACUAUGCAACCAGACAUGAUUGUUGCAAAACCAGCUGU